GGUCCGAUAGUGUAGCUGGUUAGCACGUUCGCUUGACGUGCGAGAGGUCCGGAGUUCGAGUCUCCGUCGGAUCA
rnacentral:tRNA from 5 species